GUCUAUGGCCAUACCACCCUGAACGCACCCAGUCUCGUCUGAUCUGGGAAGCUAAGCAGUGUCGGGCCUGGUACUAGUACUUGGAUGGGAAACAUUAUGCAUGGGGGAGGUGCGAUUCCCU
rnacentral:rRNA from 1 species